UUAAGUGAAUAAGGGCGCACGGUGGAUGCCUUGGCACUAGGAGCCGAUGAAGGACGGGACUAACACCGAUAUGCUUUGGGGAGCUGUACGUAAGCUAUGAUCCAGAGAUUUCCGAAUGGGGGAACCCAGCAUCUUUAAUAGGAUGUUACGAUUGUGUGAAUACAUAGCACAUUCGAGGUAGACGCAGAGAACUGAAACAUCUAAGUACCUGCAGGAAGAGAAAGAAAAUUCGAUUCCCUGAGUAGCGGCGAGCGAAACGGGAAAAGCCCAAACCAGCAAGCUUGCUUGUUGGGGUUGUAGGACUCCAAUAUGGUAGUUCUUUCAGAUAGUCGAAUGACUUGGAAAAGUCAGUCAAAGAGGGUAAAAACCCCGUAGACGAAAUGUGGAAGACACCUAGGAGGAUCCUGAGUACGGCGGAACACGAGAAAUUCCGUCGGAAUCCGGGAGGACCAUCUCCCAAGGCUAAAUACUCCCUAGUGACCGAUAGUGAACCAGUACCGUGAGGGAAAGGUGAAAAGCACCCCGGAAGGGGAGUGAAAUAGAACCUGAAACCGUGUGCCUACAACAAGUCAAAGCCCGUUAAUGGGUGAUGGCGUGCCUUUUGUAGAAUGAACCGGCGAGUUACGAUUGCAUGCGAGGUUAAGUUGAAGAGACGGAGCCGCAGCGAAAGCGAGUCUGAAUAGGGCGUUUGAGUAUGUAGUCGUAGACCCGAAACCAUGUGAUCUACCCAUGUCCAGGUUGAAGGUGCGGUAAAACGCACUGGAGGACCGAACCCACGUACGUUGAAAAGUGCGGGGAUGAGGUGUGGGUAGCGGAGAAAUUCCAAACGAACUUGGAGAUAGCUGGUUCUCUCCGAAAUAGCUUUAGGGCUAGCCUCGGAAUUGAGAAUGAUGGAGGUAGAGCACUGUUUGGACUAGGGGCCCAUCUCGGGUUACCGAAUUCAGAUAAACUCCGAAUGCCAUUCAUUCAUAUCCGGGAGUCAGACUGUGAGUGAUAAGAUCCAUAGUCGAAAGGGAAACAGCCCAGACCACCAGCUAAGGUCCCAAAAUAUAUGUUAAGUGGAAAAGGAUGUGGGGUUGCACAGACAACUAGGAUGUUGGCUUAGAAGCAGCCACCAUUUAAAGAGUGCGUAAUAGCUCACUAGUCGAGUGACCCUGCGCCGAAAAUGUACCGGGGCUAAACAUAUUACCGAAGCUGUGGAGUACACCUUUAGGUGUAUUGGUAGGAGAGCGUUCUAAGGGCGUUGAAGGCAGAUCGUGAGGACUGCUGGAGCGCUUAGAAGUGAGAAUGCCGGUAUGAGUAGCGAAAGACAGGUGAGAAUCCUGUCCACCGAAUGACUAAGGUUUCCUGGGGAAGGCUCGUCCGCCCAGGGUUAGUCGGGACCUAAGCCGAGGCCGACAGGCGUAGGCGAUGGAUAACAGGUUGAUAUUCCUGUACCCGUUGUUUUUGUUUGAGCAAUGGAGGGACGCAGGAGGCUAAGGAAUGCAGACGAUCGGAAAUGUCUGUCCAAGCAGUAAGUCUGAAGAGGAGUCAAAUGCUUCUUUUCUUAAGGACAAGCUGUGAUGGGGAGGGAAAUAAUAGUACCGAAGUUCCUGAUGUCACACUGCCGAGAAAAGCUUCUAGUGAGAAAACAGCGGCCCGUACCGCAAACCGACACAGGUAGUCGAGGAGAGAAUCCUAAGGUGAGCGAGAGAACUCUCGUUAAGGAACUCGGCAAAAUGACCCCGUAACUUCGGGAGAAGGGGUGCUGAUCAUACGAUCAGCCGCAGUGAAUAGGCCCAAGCGACUGUUUAUCAAAAACACAGGUCUCUGCAAAAUCGUAAGAUGAAGUAUAGGGGCUGACGCCUGCCCGGUGCUGGAAGGUUAAGAGGAGUGCUUAGCGCAAGCGAAGGUACGAAUUGAAGCCCCAGUAAACGGCGGCCGUAACUAUAACGGUCCUAAGGUAGCGAAAUUCCUUGUCGGGUAAGUUCCGACCCGCACGAAAGGCGUAACGAUUUGGGCACUGUCUCAACGAGAGACUCGGUGAAAUUUUAGUACCUGUGAAGAUGCAGGUUACCCGCGACAGGACGGAAAGACCCCAUGGAGCUUUACUGUAGUUUGAUAUUGAGUGUCUGUACCGCAUGUACAGGAUAGGUAGGAGCCGUAGAAAUCGGAACGCUAGUUUCGAUGGAGGCGCUGGUGGGAUACUACCCCUGCGUUAUGGCCACUCUAACCCGCACCACUAAUCGUGGUGGGAGACAGUGUCAGAUGGGCAGUUUGAUGGGGCGGUCGCCUCCUAAAAGGUAACGGAGGCGCCCAAAGGUUCCUCAGAAUGGUUGGAAAUCAUUCGAAGAGUGUAAAGGCAGAAGGGAGCUUGACUGCGAGACCAACAAGUCGAGCAGGGACGAAAGUCGGGCUUAGUGAUCCGGUGGUUCCGCAUGGAAGGGCCAUCGCUCAACGGAUAAAAGCUACCCUGGGGAUAACAGGCUUAUCUCCCCCAAGAGUCCACAUCGACGGGGAGGUUUGGCACCUCGAUGUCGGCUCGUCGCAUCCUGGGGCUGUAGUCGGUCCCAAGGGUUGGGCUGUUCGCCCAUUAAAGCGGCACGCGAGCUGGGUUCAGAACGUCGUGAGACAGUUCGGUCCCUAUCCGUCGCGGGCGUUGGAAAUUUGAGAGGAGCUGUCCUUAGUACGAGAGGACCGGGAUGGACUUACCGCUGGUGUACCAGUUGUUCUGCCAAGGGCAUUGCUGGGUAGCUAUGUAGGGAAGGGAUAAACGCUGAAAGCAUCUAAGUGUGAAGCCCACCUCAAGAUGAGAUUUCCCAUUUCUUUAAGAAAGUAAGAUCCCUGAGAGAUGAUCAGGUAGAUAGGUCAGGAGUGGAAGUACAGUGAUGUAUGGAGCGGACUGAUACUAAUCGAUCGAGGACUUAACCAA
rnacentral:rRNA from 1 species